GAUGAACGCUGGCGGCGUGCCUAAUACAUGCAAGUCGAGCGAACAGAUGAGGGGCUUGCUCCUCUGACGUUAGCGGCGGACGGGUGAGUAACACGUGGAUAACCUACCUAUAAGACUGGGAUAACUUCGGGAAACCGGAGCUAAUACCGGAUAAUAUAUUGAACCGCAUGGUUCAAUAGUGAAAGACGGUUUUGCUGUCACUUAUAGAUGGAUCCGCGCCGCAUUAGCUAGUUGGUAAGGUAACGGCUUACCAAGGCAACGAUGCGUAGCCGACCUGAGAGGGUGAUAGGCCACACUGGAACUGAGACACGGUCCAGACUCCUACGGGAGGCAGCAGUAGGGAACCUUCCGCAAUGGGCGAAAGCCUGACGGAGCAACGCCGCGUGAGUGAUGAAGGUCUUCGGAUCGUAAAACUCUGUUAUUAGGGAAGAACAAAUGUGUAAGUAACUAUGCACGUCUUGACGGUACCUAAUCAGAAAGCCACGGCUAACUACGUG
rnacentral:rRNA from 1 species